UCCAGACUCCUACGGGAGGCAGCAGUGAGGAAUAUUGGUCAAUGGUCGGGAGACUGAACCAGCCAAGCCGCGUGAGGGAGGAAGGUACAGAGUAUCGUAAACCUCUUUUGUCAGGGAACAAAGGCGGGGACGUGUCCCCGGAUGAGUGUACCUGAAGAAAAAGCAUCGGCUAACUCCGUGCCAGCAGCCGCGGUAAUACGUAGGGGGCAAGCGUUAUCCGGAUUUACUGGGUGUAAAGGGAGCGCAGACGGCAGUGCAAGUCUGGAGUGAAAGCCCGGGGCCCAACCCCAGAACUGCUCUGGAAACUGUGCGGCUAGAGUACUGGAGGGGCAGGCGGAAUUCCUAGUGUAGCGGUGAAAUGCGUAGAUAUUAGGAGGAACACCAGUGGCGAAGGCGGCCUGCUGGACAGUAACUGACGUUGAGGCUCGAAAGCGUGGGGAGCAAACAGGAUUAGAUACCCCCGUA
rnacentral:rRNA from 1 species